GGUUAAGCGACUAAGCGUACACGGUGGAUGCCCUGGCAGUCAGAGGCGAUGAAGGACGUGCUAAUCUGCGAUAAGCGUCGGUAAGGUGAUAUGAACCGUUAUAACCGGCGAUUUCCGAAUGGGGAAACCCAGUGUGAUUCGUCACACUAUCAUUAACUGAAUCCAUAGGUUAAUGAGGCGAACCGGGGGAACUGAAACAUCUAAGUACCCCGAGGAAAAGAAAUCAACCGAGAUUCCCCCAGUAGCGGCGAGCGAACGGGGAGGAGCCCAGAGCCUGAAUCAGUGUGUGUGUUAGUGGAAGCGUCUGGAAAGGCGCGCGAUACAGGGUGACAGCCCCGUACACAAAAAUGCACAUACUGUGAGCUCGAUGAGUAGGGCGGGACACGUGGUAUCCUGUCUGAAUAUGGGGGGACCAUCCUCCAAGGCUAAAUACUCCUGACUGACCGAUAGUGAACCAGUACCGUGAGGGAAAGGCGAAAAGAACCCCGGCGAGGGGAGUGAAA
rnacentral:rRNA from 1 species